GACCUCCAAGGAGACCAGCACGUGCGUGGCAUCUCCGAGGUGUAGGGUACUUUUAGUAGCAGAAUCUGACUGCAGACAACAGGACAAUACCCAGUGGCUGGGGACAGAACUUUACGUUAGCUAAAGUCUCAGGUGCUUCCAUUUUGUUUCAGAGACCUAGAGAGGAGUGGAAGAACCAGGGCAAGCGAAAAGAAGUCAGGACUUGGAGGAAGCCGACCACGGCAAACUUAAUGCGACCACAGAGGAGACCAGAGGACCGAAGACGAGCAGCCAGAAGGUCAUCUGCUAGAAGGAGAUCAGUACGUGCAUGCAUAGCUGUUAUGUCCUUGGUUCCCAGAGGAGGAUGGGAAGUACUGAGAGCUGUCAGAAAUGGCUUCAGAAUUGUCUUCAAGUUCUACACAUCCACGUCUACAAGAACAAGAAAGUUCCUGGGGAAAUUGGUGAUGGGCCUGGCUGGCCUUAAGGAUGCUCUUGAGUGAGUAAACGCCCAUCUACUUUUAUGGCCCAAGGAAGAUAUCGAGAAUGCCUUCUAGGAAGAAAAUAGGUACUUUCUGAUAAGCUUCUUAUUUUUAAAAAAAUUAAUUCUCUGAUUUUUUUUUCUUUUGUUGUUUGAGACAGGAGUACCUCAUCUCCUGUCUCUACCUUGUCCUGGGGUUACAGGGAUGUGCCACCAUUCUUGCUUUGCUAUGCUGGGGAUGGUGUCCAGGGUCUCCCUCCUUACUGAACAACAUAUUUCCCUCCCCUACCCCUGUGGACUCCCCCUCCACGCAUUAUUUUCCCUGCACAUCUCUGCGUCCCUCCUUUAGCUCCUGCCUGUAAAUCCCCAGCUGCCUCUGCUGAAUUCAGGAUUGAGCCUGAUUUAUUUCUUCCCCCAUUGAAAAAUUCCUGUAGCAAUAAUCUUGGUUGUUUUAACGAUGAUCAAAGUAAUUUUGUCAUUAAUAUUAGUAAGUCAAGUCAGGAUGCUUACAGAUGGCCUAUUUCUGCCACUGAUUUUUUUGAAUUUCUUUAUUUCCUUUAGGUGAGGCUUACGAAGAUUUGCUCAUAAAGCAACAAGCUGAUAAUCUGGGUUGCCAAAGACAAAGCAAAGAAUGGUAGUAUAUAAUCCCAAGUUAUCAAGACUAUUGCUGAGAAUGUAGUGAGGUAGUUCUCGAUUUGGUUUCAAACAGAAAUUAAGAAUUUACUGCUGUGAUCUUAUCCAAACAAAUCAAAUGUAAAGCAACCUCCAUGUUUCUUGAUGCCUUUGCCUCUGAUUAUUAUUAUUAUUAUUUUUUUUUUUUGAGAUGGACUAGGCAGGGGAGGAGUACGCAUAUGUACAAAUUACCCAGAGUGCUUCUGCAAACUUGCUAGUUUCUUUAAGAAAGAAAAGGUGCCUAGUCUGGUGGCACAGCUAAUGGCAGCGUGAUUUAAUUCCAGCCCUUGAGUGGCUGGAUCUGGCAGAUUUUGGCGAGUUCUAGGCUGCCAGUCUACGCAGUGAGUCGCAGUGGCCAAUUUACUGGGCAGGUACUGCGGUGGAAAUUUACCUUGAGAAAAGGCAAAAGUCCGAACUCAGUGGUUUUAGUCCUUAAUUUGGCCUAGAAGGAAAACAAAAGUAAAACGGCCGCUUUAGGUGCUCCACUGAUUUUGAACAGGACGGAGGACGGUCUAAUUUCUUGGCCCUUUUUUUGGUCUCAGAGUGGCGGUUUUGUUUUUUCAGACUACAAAGGGCGGGAGAGGAGACAGUUAAGAUGGCGGUGCUGGCGCUCUCUGGAGCACUACUGCCAUCGUGCGGUCAGAGUUUCAGAGACUCAAUGAACAGUUUCGUGACUGUAUUCAAUGCCAAGGGCGCUCUAGGCAUACUUCUUUAGGCCUGGGCAUAUUCUGUGUUAGCCAUAGUUCGCUAGGCACAGGCGUAUUUCUAAGGCCCUAAGUAUGAUCCGAACCCAAGAACUAUUUGUGUAGAACCUGGAAUGCGAGAGGCCUGUGUACCAGGGACUUGGAAGCUUCCAGGACUUACAGACACAGGAAGUCCUGGGGGGGACUUAUGUUUUGAAUACAAACAAACACUUGGCAUUUGUUAAUUGUGUCUGACAGAUUUACAGGCUUCAGAGUUGUCUUUUCUCUGCCUUCAUCCACCAAGUUUAGACUUUCAAGCACAAGUUAACUUCAAGGGAAGUAAAACAUGUCUGAAUGGAUAAGGUUCAGUGGAGAAUUAUCAGUUACAAAAUACUAACCAACCAUGUUCCUAGGCCUUUGUCUCUAGAUUCUGAUUCUGACUAUUAUUAGAAUCACUUGGGCUUGGAGGGCGGGAGUAAAGCAGUCAAGGGUGGCCCUUGUGACUGUCUGUGGAGCACUAUUGCCAUUGUGCAGGAAUAAUUACAGUACAUAUGGCACCAUUACAGCUUCAUUCCCGUGAGUCUAGCAGUGGGGAAAGAAUUCCUGGAAGGAUACACCUGGCUUAAGUGCCUUUCCCCUGAGGCAAGAGGAGAAACUUGGACAGCAGUACAAUCGUAGUAUUAAAAAUGAAGUAAGUGUAAGGAGCCAACAGAGGACCUGCAGGUGCUUAGACUAGCAGACAGGAAGUUGCGGGUUGGCAUUUUGGUCCUUUUAUCUGGGGCAUGAACUUUCAACUCUUGGUGGGGACUCCUGUCUCCUACUCCUUGUAGUAUGACUCAGCAGGAUUUUAAGUAGUGUCCUCUUACUAACAGGCUACAUCUCACAUACGUGACCAAGAGAUACAUUCCAUGUUUGUGGGGUAGGAAGCUAACUAUAGUUAAGUUGGCCAUAUUACCAGAAGAGAUUUUCAGUGUUGUGGCAGACCUCAUUGUCCUAAUGACCGUUCUGCAGAAGCGGAAUGCCUGACCCUAGGCCUUUAAUCCCAGCACUCGGGAGGCAGAGGCAGGCGGAUCUCUGUGAGUUCGA